CCUGGAACGUCAAGGGACUAUCGCAACCAACUAGAGACCUAUUAUGGGACUCAUGGGCACCAGGUAUUCAACGAAAUAACAUAUCCGCACGGAACACCUGGAGCCACUGGUGUAUGGGAAGGGACUGCGAUCCCUUUACUUUGGUGCGCAUUUGGUACGAGGCGGGGCCUCUAUAUCGGAUAUUUUACAUGCAGCGAAUAGGACACGGGAAGACACCUUCCAUAUAUUUAUUUUUCGUCAAACCACCCAUGCAUCCUUCUCGCUCAUACCACAGCGUUAAAAAUGCAAAAUAUGAAGCCUCCUGUCAUGUGAUAACAUUGUAGAUUAUGGGGGGGCGUGGCCUGGCUGUGGAGCUGAACAGUCGCACAUGCUAUGAGCUCCUGGGCCUGGGUCUGAAUAUCGGACGAAAUCGGGGGCAACUUGCUCAACCUUGAACCCCAACUCACCUUAAUCUGAUCCGCAGAAACUGGCGAACCGGGGGAUACCUCAGACGCCCAGCAUACCCGCCGGAAUGACCGAGCCGAGGCCUAUGCCAAGCAGAGCAGGGGAGAGACGGCCGCUCUCCCAGCUCAUAAACACAAGCAACGCCAGCAGCACACGGCUGCCCCCCCCCCCCUAGGACCGGUGGGGGUUAUCCUGGUCCAAACAUCCUGGAUCAACACACCUAUGUGGCCCUUAAAAGCAGAUACCAGCACCAACCAGGAAACAAGUAUGCAGGCAGCCCGCCACGCCAAUAUGGCGGACGCGCAAGCAUGUGGAGGAACAGAGCCGCCAAAACACAACCCCAGGACAAGCGACUCACUCACCACCCGCCUGAAUGAGCUCUUCCAAACCUUCUGGGCACGAAUCAAGGCUCAACAAGCAGCGGAGCAGCAACAGAGGCAAGAGAACUGGAGUAAGGGGGACAAUCAUGGCGGUGUUGACCGUAGUGGGCCUGGGCUACCCUUGGGCAAAGCCCUGACAAAGCAGCCUACACCUCACCAUGCUAGCCCAUCUGGGCUGCAGGCCACCAGGGGAACAACCCCGGCGCAUCAACCACACAGGCGGAGACCGGCCUGCAGAAAAAGAAAGCGGCGCAACACCGCCAUAAAGGCCUCCAGACCAGUCCCGAAAGGGAAGGAUCCGACCCCCAGAGGUACCCGAAUCCGUGGCUACAAGAUGUCGGCCAUGCUACAUGCCCAGAGCUGGAGGGCGCAUCGGGUUAACUCCCGGCCGACCGCCUACCAACGUGAACCCCCAAUGCUGCAGACACUGUUCCCACCUGAAGGAAUGGGGUGACAAUCCAGCAAGCUCCCCCCUACACUCACUAAUGAACACUGCCCAGACACCCAUGAACACUGACUCUGCAUACCUGGAUUUCUCACACGAUUAUAUCUGUGACUAUGUCUCUGCUAUCUCACUCUCUCACACAAUACCACAGAGGUACAUUUACCAUUGAUUACUUAUCGUAGAUAGCCAUGUUACACACUUACCUACUCAACCUACACACACGCAUGUUUAUCUAUGUCUGUAACUUAAUCUCUUCUCUCUGUGACACAAAGGAUGUUUAAGUCUGCUUUUGAAAUACUAUUAUAGCCAUGUUACACACUUACCUACUCAAACCUACACACACAUAAUCUCUUCUCUCUGUGACACAAUGGAUGUUUAAGCCUGCUUUUGAAAUAAUAUUAUGCAAAGCUUCCAUGUCACGGUCUCAUAUGAAUGUCACUGUACAUGACUAUGGCUAAGCCUGUUCAUAAUAUAAAAAUGUGCAUACUGUUCAUCUGUCCCGCAUGUUAAGCGAGGAAAGCUUGGGGACUGCCGUUGGG